rnacentral:rRNA from 1 species
GCGCACCAGGCGAGAAAACUUUACAAUGUGCGAAAGCACGAUAAGGGAACUCUGAGUGCCUCCUAAGGAGGCUGUUCUGAUGUCUAAAAAGCAACAGAAGUAAGGGCUGGGUAAGACCGGUGCCAGCCGCCGCGGUAACACCGGCAGCCCAAGUGGUAGCCACGUUUAUUGGGUCUAAAAGCGUUCGUAGCCGGCCAGGUAAGUUCCUUGGUAAAUUUAGCCGCUUAACGGUUAAGCUUUCAGGGAAUACUGCUUGGCUUGGGACUGGGAGAGGUCAGAGGUACUCCGGGGGUAGGGGUGAAAUCUAUUAAUCCCUGGGGGACCACCGGUAGCGAAGGCGUCUGACCAGACCAGGUCCGACGGUGAGGGACGAAGGCUAGGGGCGCGAACCGGAUUAGAUACCCGCGUAGU